rnacentral:rRNA from 1 species
AUUGAACGCUGGCGGCAUGCCUUACACAUGCAAGUCGAACGGCAGCACGGGAGCUUGCUCCUGGUGGCGAGUGGCGAACGGGUGAGUAAUACAUCGGAACGUACCCUGAAGUGGGGGAUAACGUAGCGAAAGUUACGCUAAUACCGCAUAUUCUGUGAGCAGGAAAGAGGGGGAUCGCAAGACCUCUUGCUUUAGGAGCGGCCGAUGUCGGAUUAGCUAGUUGGUGAGGUAAAGGCUCACCAAGGCGACGAUCCGUAGCGGGUCUGAGAGGAUGAUCCGCCACACUGGAACUGAGACACGGUCCAGACUCCUACGGGAGGCAGCAGUGGGGAAUUUUGGACAAUGGGGGCAACCCUGAUCCAGCCAUGCCGCGUGAGUGAAGAAGGCCUCGGUUGUAAGACUCUUC